AUUGAACGCUGGCGGCAGGCUUAACACAUGCAAGUCGAGCGGGGGAAGGUAGCUUGCUACCGGACCUAGCGGCGGACGGGUGAGUAAUGCUUAGGAAUCUGCCUAUUAGUGGGGGACAACGUUUCGAAAGGAACGCUAAUACCGCAUACGCCCUACGGGGGAAAGCAGGGGCUCACGUGGGCACUUGCGCCACAAAAUAAGCCUAGGCCAGAUUAGCUAGUUGGUGGGGUAAAGGCCUACCAAGGCGACGAUCUGAAGCGGGUCUGAGAGGAUGAUCCGCCACACUGGGACUGAGACACGGCCCAGACUCCUACGGGAGGCAGCAGUGGGGAAUAUUGGACAAUGGGGGGAACCCUGAUCCAGCCAUGCCGCGUGUGUGAAGAAGGCCUUUUGGUUGUAAAGCACUUUAAGCGGGGAGGAGGCUACUAGUACUAAUAUUACUGGAUAGUGGACGUUACCCGCAGAAUAAGCACCGGCUAACUCUGUGCCAGCCGCCGCGGUAA
rnacentral:rRNA from 1 species